GGGUGCGUAACGCGUAUGCAACUUGCCCUUAUCAGGAGGAUAGCCCGGGGAAACUCGGAUUAAUACUCCAUAAGAUUUUGAUUGGCAUCGAUUAAAAUUGAAAGAUUUAUUGGAUAAGGAUAGGCAUGCGUCAGAUUAGUUAGUUGGUAGUGUAACGGACUACCAAGGCGAUGAUCUGUAGGGGGCCUGAGAGGGUGAACCCCCACACUGGUACUGAGACACGGACCAGACUCCUACGGGAGGCAGCAGUGAGGAAUAUUGGACAAUGGAGGGAACUCUGAUCCAGCCAUCCCGCGUGCAGGAAGACGGCCUUUUGGGUGGUAAACUGCUUUUGUAUGGGGAUAAAUCUACCUACGUGUAGGUAGUUGAAGGUACCAUACGAAUAAGCAUCGGCUAACUCCGUGCCAGCAGCCGCGGUAAUACGGAGGAUGCAAGCGUUAUCCGGAUUCAUUGGGUUUAAAGGGUCCGUAGGCGGGCUGAUAAGUCAGUGGUGAAAUUUUGUCGCUCAACGAUAAAACUGCCAUUGAUACUGUUAGUCUUGAGUGAUAUUGAAGUAGCUGGAAUGUGUAGUGUAGCGGUGAAAUGCAUAGAUAUUACACAGAACACCGAUUGCGAAGGCAGGUUACUAAGUAUUAACUGACGCUGAAGGACGAAAGCGUGGGGAGCGAACAGGAUUAGAUACCCUGGUAGUCCACGCAGUAAACGAUGCUAACU
rnacentral:rRNA from 1 species